rnacentral:rRNA from 1 species
GCGGCGAGUGGCGAACGGGUGAGUAAUAUAUCGGAACGUACCCAGAAGUGGGGGAUAACGUAGCGAAAGUUACGCUAAUACCGCAUACGAUCUACGGAUGAAAGUGGGGGACCUUCGGGCCUCAUGCUUUUGGAGCGGCCGAUAUCUGAUUAGCUAGUUGGUGAGGUAAAGGCUCACCAAGGCGACGAUCAGUAGCUGGUCUGAGAGGACGACCAGCCACACUGGGACUGAGACACGGCCCAGACUCCUACGGGAGGCAGCAGUGGGGAAUUUUGGACAAUGGGCGCAAGCCUGAUCCAGCAAUGCCGCGUGAGUGAAGAAGGCCUUCGGGUUGUAAAGCUCUUUUGUCAGGGAAGAAACGGCCGAGGCUAAUACCUUUGGCUAAUGACGGUACCUGAAGAAUAAGCACCGGCUAACUACGUGCCAGCAGCCGCGGUAAUACGUAGGGUGCAAGCGUUAAUCGGAAUUACUGGGCGUAAAGCGUGCGCAGGCGGUUUUGUAAGUCUGUCGUGAAAGCCCCGGGCUCAACCUGGGAAUUGCGAUGGAGACUGCAAGGCUUGAAUCUGGCAGAGGGGGGUAGAAUUCCACGUGUAGCAGUGAAAUGCGUAGAGAUGUGGAGGAACACCGAUGGCGAAGGCAGCCCCCUGGGUCAAGAUUGACGCUCAUGCACGAAAGCGUGGGGAGCAAACAGGAUUAGAUACCCUGGUAGUCCACGCCCUAAACGAUGUCUACUAGUUGUCGGGUCUUAAUUGACUUGGUAACGCAGCUAACGCGUGAAGUAGACCGCCUGGGGAGUACGGUCGCAAGAUUAAAACUCAAAGGAAUUGACGGGGACCCGCACAAGCGGUGGAUGAUGUGGAUUAAUUCGAUGCAACGCGAAAAACCUUACCUACCCUUGACAUGUCAGGAACCUUGGAGAGAUCCGGGGGUGCCCGAAAGGGAGCCUGAACACAGGUGCUGCAUGGCUGUCGUCAGCUCGUGUCGUGAGAUGUUGGGUUAAGUCCCGCAACGAGCGCAACCCUUGUCAUUAGUUGCUACGAAAGGGCACUCUAAUGAGACUGCCGGUGACAAACCGGAGGAAGGUGGGGAUGACGUCAAGUCCUCAUGGCCCUUAUGGGUAGGGCUUCACACGUCAUACAAUGGUACAUACAGAGGGCCGCCAACCCGCGAGGGGGAGCUAAUCCCAGAAAGUGUAUCGUAGUCCGGAUCGCAGUCUGCAACUCGACUGCGUGAAGUUGGAAUCGCUAGUAAUCGCGGAUCAGCAUGUCGCGGUGAAUACGUUCCCGGGUCUUGUACACACCGCCCGUCACACCAUGGGAGCGGGUUUUACCAGAAGUAGGUAGCUUAACC